rnacentral:rRNA from 1 species
UGGGGAAUAUUGCACAAUGGGCGAAAGCCUGAUGCAGCGACGCCGCGUGAGGGAUGACGGCCUUCGGGUUGUAAACCUCUUUCAGCAGGGACGAAGCGAAAGUGACGGUACCUGCAGAAGAAGCACCGGCCAACUACGUGCCAGCAGCCGCGGUAAUACGUAGGGUGCGAGCGUUGUCCGGAAUUACUGGGCGUAAAGAGCUCGUAGGCGGUUUGUCGCGUCGUCUGUGAAAACCCGCAGCUCAACUGCGGGCUUGCAGGCGAUACGGGCAGACUUGAGUACUGCAGGGGAGACUGGAAUUCCUGGUGUAGCGGUGAAAUGCGCAGAUAUCAGGAGGAACACCGGUGGCGAAGGCGGGUCUCUGGGCAGUAACUGACGCUGAGGAGCGAAAGCGUGGGUAGCGAACA